rnacentral:rRNA from 1 species
GAUGAACGCUGGCGGCGUGCCUAAUACAUGCAAGUCGAACGAAACUUAUUUAACACCGAGUGCUUGCACUGACCGAUAAAGAGUUGAGUGGCCAACGGGUGAGUACCACGUCGGCAUCCUGCCCACAAGAGGGGGGUCACGGUUGGCAACAGGUGAUAAUACCGAAUAACCAUAGUAACCGCAUGGUAACUAUGUAAAAGUUGGCUAUAAUACCGCUUCUGGCUGGGCACGCGUCGGAUUAGCAAGUUGGUAGGGUAAAGGGAUACCAAGGCAAUGAUGUGUAGCCGAAUUGAGGGCUUGAUCGGCCACAUUGGGACUGAGACACGGCCCAAACUCCUACGGUAGGCCGCGGUAGGGAAUCUUCCACGAUGGGCGAAAGCCGGAUAGAGCAACGCCGCGUGAGUGAAGAAGGUGUGCGGAUCGUAAAACCCUGUUGUUAGUGAAAAAAGUGAGUGAUAGUAACUGUUCACGUUUCGACGGUAUCUAACCAGAAAGCCACGGCUAACUACGUG